rnacentral:rRNA from 1 species
GCGAGUGAAGCGGGAACAGCUCAAAUUUUAAAUCUGGCUGCUUUGCAGUCCGAGUUGUAGUUUGAAGGAGUCUGUCGCUCUUCGGGACAAUGGCACAAGUCUUUUGGAACAUUGCAUCAUAGAGGGUGAGAAUCCCGUCUUUGGCCAUCGUACCAGGAGCACACGGCAGGCAUCCGAAGAGUCGAGUUGUUUGGGAUUGCAGCUCCAAAUGGGUGGUAAACUCCAUCUAAGGCUAAAUAUCUGCGAGAGACCGAUAGCGAACAAGUACCGUGAGGGAAAGAUGAAAAGAACUUUGAAAAGAGAGUAAAACAGUACGUGAAAUUGUUGAAAGGGAAACGAUUGAAGUCAGUCGUGCCGGCGGGGAUUCAGCGAAUUCCGUGGAAUGAGCGUACUUCCUCGCAUGGCAGGUCAGCGUCAGUUUCGCGCGUCGUGAAAUGGUUCUGGUAAGGUGGCUCUCUUCGGGGAGUGUUAUAGACCGGAGCAGAUGCGGGGGCGCGAGACUGAGGAUUGCAGCGAACACCCUUCGGCGCGGCAUCGGGUCUCUGUUCUGUCACCUGUGUCCGAUAGCGUGCUAACGGAUGUGGGAGCGGCGGUUCACCGGACUGGAAUGCCAGCGGUUCGCUUAGGACGC